ACAGCAGUCGCCGCGGGAAUACGUAGGGUGCGAGCGUUAAUCGGAAUUACUGGGCGUAAAGCGUGCGCAGGCGGUUCGUUAAGACAGAUGUGAAAUCCCCGGGCUUAACCUGGGAACUGCAUUUGUGACUGGCGAGCUAGAGUAUGGCAGAGGGGGGUAGAAUUCCACGUGUAGCAGUGAAAUGCGUAGAGAUGUGGAGGAAUACCGAUGGCGAAGGCAGCCCCCUGGGCCAAUACUGACGCUCAUGCACGAAAGCGUGGGGAGCAAACAGGAUUAGAUACCCCAGUAGUCCAUGUCUCUUAUAA
rnacentral:rRNA from 1 species